AUUGAACGCUGGCGGCAGGCCUAACACAUGCAAGUCGAACGAGUGGCGGACGGGUGAGUAAUGUGUAGGAAACUGGCCGCGGGGGGGGGCUUACGACUGGGAACGGUAACCAAUAACGCAUCCCGACGGACGUGGCCAGGUUGGCUUAGCUUGUUGGUGAGGUAACGGCUCACCUGGGCGACGAUCCCUAGCUGGUCUGAGAGGAUGACCAGCCACACUGGAACUGAGACACGGUCCAGACUCCUACGGGAGGCAGCAGUGGGGAAUAUUGGACAAUGGGCGCAAGCCGGAUACAGCCAUGCCGCGUGUAUGAAGAAGGCCUUCGGGUUGUAAAGUACUUUCAGCGGGGAGGCGUUACCCACAGAAGAAGCACCGGCUAACUCCGUGCCAGCAGCCGCGGUAAUAC
rnacentral:rRNA from 1 species